rnacentral:tRNA from 1 species
UAUAUAUGUAUAUAUUCUAAUCUGGCAGAUAGGCUUUGGA